rnacentral:rRNA from 1 species
GAUGAACGCUGGCGGCGUGCCUAAUACAUGCAAGUCGAGCGAACGGACGAGAAGCUUGCUUCUCUGAUGUUAGCGGCGGACGGGUGAGUAACACGUGGAUAACCUACCUAUAAGACUGGGAUAACUUCGGGAAACCGUAGCUAAUACCGGAUAAUAUUUUGAACCGCAUGGUUCAAAAGUUAAAGACGGUCUUGCUGUCACUUAUAGAUGGAUCCGCGCUGCAUUAGCUAGUUGGUAAGGUAACGGCUUACCAAGGCAACGAUGCAUAGCCGACCUGAGAGGGUGAUCGGCCACACUGGAACUGAGACACGGUCCAGACUCCUGCGGGAGGAAGCAGUAGGGAAUCUUACGCAAUGGGCGAAAGCCUGACGGAGCAACGCCGCGUGAGUGAUGAAGGUCUUCGGAUCGUAAAACUCUGUUAUUAGGGAAGAACAUAUGUGUAAGUAACUGUGCACAUCUUGACGGUACCUAAUCAGAAAGCCACGGCUAACUACGUG